ACUUUGAUGGGUCUUCUCCGACGAGUCUCCGGGAUCUGGUCGGAUCUUGACUCGGAUAAUGGAUCUUGUCGGGACGUUACGGGUAAGAGAGCUUCCGUACUCGCCAUUUUCUUGUUUGGUUUUUGCUUUAUUUGAUGGUUGUAAUAAAGAAAAUGGCUAGUCCUAUAUAUAUAAAUAGAUAGAUCAAUCAAAUCAAAUCUCAAAAUAAAUAUAUUAAAAAAAAUAUGAGAAGUUGAGAACUAGAGAGAGUAGAGAGAUCUAGAUUAGAGCUGUGAUUUUUGUAUUAUCUAUCUACCAGUAAUAAGCCUCACGUUUAAAUACGACAAGUCAAUAAUAACAUUUAUUAUUCAUUAUUUAAGUAAGUGGAUUUAAGGUAAAUAUAUUGGACCAAUAUAUGUUAAUUACUAUAUUUCCUUGUUAAUUGCAUACAUUUUUUAGAACACUAUGGUUUCAUAUGGAUAAAAGAAACUAAUUCAUAAGAGGCGUGCGUAAUCUACCCUAUUUUUGAGAUGAAUAUUUUUGAGGUGGAAAAUAAUUUUUCAUGGACUAAGAUUAUUUGUAUAUAAAAAUGGUGCAUAAUUUUUUUUUUUACAUCAAAUACACCAUGUUUUAUUAGACUGAUUCGAAAAGAUUAGCCUCAUGAAUCAACCACUCCGGAACCUGAGAACAUACAUGAGAACUUACUAAGCUUCAUGCUCGAACGUUCUUAGCGAGACGAUCUGUCUGGAUGUUAUUGUUUCUAGAAAUAUGAGAAAUUGAAAAACAGAAAAUCUAGCUCGGAGUCUAUGAAAGAUAUCUAACUCCGUAGAAAAAACAUGCCACUCUUCGACGUCGUCAAUAACCUUUAAGAUGCUCAAACAAUCUGUCUCAAAAUGUCCCGAUGUAUGACCAUGGUUUAAAACACAUUACAUUGCCCAUAGUAGUGCACCCAAUUCAGCAUGAAGUGCAUACAUGAAUCCCUUAGUGCUUUGGCAUCCGAAAAGGGUUUCAGGCCCAUAUAGCACAAAUCCCAGCCCUGAGAUCGGGUCUGAGCUAAGAAACCGGUGCAUAAUUGAUAUGCGAUAAUUGGUAAAAUUUAUAAUUGGUAAAUAGAAAGGCUUGUUAAAAGUAAUCCAAUCUACGUACAUAUUUGUUCACCUUAACCGUUUUAACCAUUCAAAUCUCAUUUUUCCUUAUUUCUCCCUUUAUCAACUAAAUCUCCUAAAUUGAUUGAAAUGUUAUCUUAAAUACUUUAUUUCAUUUUUAUUUUAUCCUAUGCUUCAUCUUCAUACUAGUAUUUUAGGAUUUGCCAGUAGGUACCAGUACCACUAGUAUAAUUACAGGUGAAUAAUGAAUAAAUAGCUGUGAAGAACUGUUACCCCAUAUUAUAGUUUUGAUUGCCCACGUUUUAAUCAGUAUCUAUAUUCUAUAAAAUGGGCCAACCACUUUAUUUGGAUUUAAAUUGUAGCUACUUUUAUCAAUUUCCCUAGAAUGAGUUGCAGUCUUUUUCAAUUAAACAUAAAAACUAAAAUUCUUGUUGAACUGUUUUUUUUUUUUGUUUGUUCAUACCAAGCCCUCAGAAGACACGUUGCAGCACCUCCAACUUUGAAGGGUGGGUAAAUUUUCAAAGAGAUUUCCCAAUUUGACUUAUAUUUUCAACUUUGAAUAGUUUGAUGAUAAGUAAAAGUGAAGAUGCAAAACUCAAGCAAUCUAUUGAUAUUAAAUAAAAAGUUUAAG
rnacentral:lncRNA from 1 species